rnacentral:misc_RNA from 1 species
GAAAUGCGAUAAGUAAUGUGAAUUGCAGAAUUCAGUGAAUCAUCGAAUCUUUGAACGCACCUUGCGCUCCUUGGUAUUCCUUGGAGCAUACCUGUUUGAGUAUCAUGAAAUCUUCAAAGUAAAUCUUUUGUUAACUCAAUUGGUUUCUACUUUGGUAUUGGAGGUCUUUGCAGCUUCACACCUGCUCCUCUUUGUUCAUUAGCUGGAUCUCAGUGUUAUGCUUGGUUCCACUCGGCGUGAUAAGUUAUCUAUCGCUGAGGACACUGUAAAAGGUGGCCAAGGUAAAUGCAGAUGAACCACUUCUAAUAGUCCAUUGACUUGGACAAUACUUUUAUGAUCUGAUCUCAAAUCAGGUAGGACUACCCGCUGAACUUAAGC